AACGAACGCUGGCGGCGCGUUUUAAGCAUGCAAGUCGAGCGGCAAGGGUAGCAAUACCCCUAGAGCGGCGGACGGGUGAGUAACACGUGGACAACCUGCCCUUAGGUGAGGGAUAGCCCAGGGAAACCUGGAUUAAUACCUCAUAAGACCACUGAUAGGAGUAUGAGUGGGGAAAGGUGCUACGGCGCCGCCUGAGGAUGGAUCUGCGUCCCAUUAGCUAGAUGGCAGGGUAAAGGCCUACCAUGGCGACGAUGGGUAGCCGGCCUGAGAGGGUGAACGGCCACACUGGAACUGAGAGACGGUCCAGACUCCUACGGGAGGCAGCAGCUAAGAAUCUUCCGCAAUGGGCGCAAGCCUGACGGAGCGACGCCGCGUGAACGAUGAAGGCCGCAAGGUUGUAAAGUUCUUUUCGGGAAGGAGAAUAAGGGGAGCAGGCAAUGGCUUUCCGAUGCCGUGAAUCCCGGAAUAAGCCCCGGCUAACUACGUGCCAGCAGCCGCGGU
rnacentral:rRNA from 1 species